rnacentral:rRNA from 1 species
AGUAAUGUAUGGGGAUCUGCCUGAUGGCGGGGGAUAACUACUGGAAACGGUAGCUAAUAUCGCAUAAUGUCUGCGGACCAAAGCGGGGGACCUCCGGGCCUCGCGCCAUCAGAUGAACCCAUAUGGGAUUAGCUUGUAGGUAAGGUAACGGCUUACCUAGGCGACGAUCCCUAGCUGGUCUGAGAGGAUGAUCAGCCACACUGGGACUGAGACACGGCCCAG